rnacentral:lncRNA from 1 species
AAAGCCAUUAGGAAGACCCCUUGGAAAGUUGUUGGCGCCGAUUUGGACGCCAAACAACGGGAGAGGAACCGCCUGGCGGUGCUCUCUGGGGAGAUGUGGAGCGGACGGUCCACGGUCCUGGGCUAUACGGUUCGAGACCUGGGCGCAGGAGCGGCUCCUUCUUUGCGUAUGUCCGGAUGGUCAGCGAUGGUGCAGAGCGUUGUCUUCUUGGCAGCAGACCCAGAUCUCGCCUCCUGGAGGACCCCGUCAAGGAGGAGAGAACCUAGGGUGUGUCUUGCAGUUGGCAGGCCACACAAGACGCCUCUAGUCAACGUAGAGCUGAAGAGAGGUGAAGAUUUGAGGUACAAGAAGGCUAAACUAGAGUUACUCCUAAUGCAUAAGAUAAAAAUGAUAAGUAAAAUUGAUUGGAUCAAUUGUGAGGGCUUCAAUCGUCCGUAACCCUUCAUUUAUAUAAAGGGAGAGGUCCAGACCCGUUACAAGUCGGUUACCGAGUUAAUCUCACAGGUUUUGCUAAUAAAUCUCGCUAGAAAUUUAAAACUAUAACUGAUCCUGCGUACGUACGGACCGUCCACGCCACCACUGUGGAUCGUUCGGACCUUGGACAAUGUGGCCUAUAGGACCGGACAGUCCGGCUGCCCAUUUUGGUGUUCAAGGGAAGUAUUUAUAGCUAAACCAUAGGAAUUAGGAGAUAGCCACUAGCAAUAUUUCCAAAAUUUCUCCAUGCAUGAUCACCUAGAAAAAACAAAAACCGGGUAGCGGAUAGUCCAGUGUGUUCACAUGCAUAGUACACCUUCAAGAGGCUACCUCUAACACUCCAAUGGCUAGUUUAUGACAUUGGUGUCCUUAGACUGCCUAGUGCUCGCAUCUCUCCAUUGGCAAUGCCAAGACCGUCCCUUCAAGUCAUCCACACGAUGCCAUUGUGACGAUGUUUUCCAUCAGAAAUAUGGAAUGAUUACCCAGUCCUAAAUAAAGAUGUCAAAAAAAACAAUAACGAGACGUCUUGUUCUAGUCACUGUUUCGUGAUGUAUGGCACUAGAAGUCAUUUAUUAGUAACGCAAGUGGUGGUUGGGUACUUGUCAGCACGAAGGUAGACGCAAAAAAAAAAUCAAGUACUACACGCAUUUUAGUUUGAGGUGCCAGUUAUAAGGAAUGUGUACUUCGAACGUACUUGUUGCUGUCUUGUAGUAUAUCAGAAAUUAAGCUUGAUCAAAACUGGUUUAAAUGAUUUUGAAGAAUAAUGCUUUGUGUACAAGAUCGAGGGAUAUGGCUUGUUGAUGAGUUUUUCCGUCCAGAUUAACUAAUAUAUAUACGUCAUACGUGUAGGAAUCCGGAAAUGUUCGUGUGUUCGAAAUAACGAGGUUGUAAUAAAACAAUAUAUUAAAAAAACAAAUUUAAAGAUGAUCGCUGCUUCUAGAAGUACUUGUACAGUUGUACUGCAUGUGGUGAUUGGACUUGAAUCAAUACCAGUCUUCAUGACGUUGUCGCAUUGUUUCCAUUUCGCCCUCGCUAGCCCUACUGCGAAGUACUUCAUGAAGACGUUGUUUAGUACUGAAUAAAUUAAAAUGUUGUUAAGGAGACACUGACACAUUGGUAAAUCAGGCGCUAAAUCAGUGCCGCUUAGCACCGGGGAAGUGGCGAGGGAGCUUCAUGGCAGCUCAGUGAAGCUGGUCGUGCGUUUGGCCAGGGCGAUGGGUUGGUUUGGCUUGGCCAUGAGCACCGAGGGGUGGUGGCAAUGGCGGACGAUGACGCGUGCUUUUUGGCGAGGGUGAAUGGCAGCGUGGGUGUGGG